ensembl:lncRNA LINC02499 long intergenic non-protein coding RNA 2499
CCUGGCCUCAAGUCUUGGCAUCCUGGCCUCCUGCAUUGGCACCCUAAAGUGCCGGGAUUACAGGCAUGAGUCAUCAUGCCCAGCCCAUAUAUGCUUUCAUGUAAUCUUAACUACCACCCAAUAUAGUAGAACUUAUUUAAAUUUUAUUGCCAGAGAAACAGAAACUCAGAGAACUUAAGUUAUUUUCCCAAGACCAUAGUAAGUACCAGAGCUAGAAGUUGAACUCAGAAUAGCUGUUUCUGAAACCUUUUCUUAUUUUAAUAUAGUAAAUGAUAAUGGUUUGUUUAUUUAACAACUGCUAAGCUCUUUGGGAGCUAUUAUUAUAGGAAAAAUGACACUGUUAUCAAUAGAGAACAUAUGCAUGUGAUUUUGGUGAGUGGAGAUGAUGAAGAAGAUGGAGGUGAUCCAAGAUGUGUGAAACACCGACUUUGCCGAAUUAAGCCUGGCAAGCUCUGGAGGCUGGGACCUCCAAGAUCAAGGCACUGGCAGAUUUGGUAUCUGCUCCAACAUUAUGGUUGCUCAGUUUCUUCAGAAAGCAACUCAUGGAGAAGUACAAACCACAGUUAGAAAGUUGAGAGAUUUCAAUGAGAAGCACAGGACCUUUAAGUCACAUGGUUACCUUCAGAAUGCACUCACCAAUUGGUACAGUUAUGAAACCUCUAGAAGUCAUCCAUUCUUGUAUAGACUUACUCUCCUGGCAUGUCUACUUGCUAUGAAACAGCUGUUUAGUCAUGUUGCCAAGAAGAAAAGAAGACAGAAUGCC